GAUGAACGCUGACAGAAUGCUUAACACAUGCAAGUCGAUUCGAUUUACCUUCGGGUAUUGAGGAUGGCGGACGGGUGAGUAACGCGUAAGGAACUUGCCCCUUGGACUGGGACAACUGUUGGAAACGACAGCUAAUACCGGAUAUUAUGAGAUUCUCGCAUGAGAAACUUAUGAAAGCUAUAUGCGCCAAGAGAGAGCCUUGCGUUCCAUUAGCUAGUUGGUGGGGUAAUGGCCCACCAAGGCGACGAUGGAUAGCCGGCCUGAGAGGGUGAACGGCCACAAGGGGACUGAGACACGGCCCUUACUCCUACGGGAGGCAGCAGUGGGGAAUAUUGGACAAUGGACCAAAAGUCUGAUCCAGCAAUUCUGUGUGCACGAUGAAGGUCUUCGGAUUGUAAAGUGCUUUCAGUUGGGAAGAAGAAAGUGACGGUACCAACAGAAGAAGCGACGGCUAAAUACGUGCCAGCAGCCGCGGUAAUACGUAUGUCGCAAGCGUUAUCCGGAUUUAUUGGGCGUAAAGCGCGUCUAGGCGGAAAAAUAAGUCUGAUGUUAAAAUGCGGGGCUCAACUCCGUAUUGCGUUGGAAACUGUUUUUCUAGAGUACUGGAGAGGUGGGCGGAACUACAAGUGUAGAGGUGAAAUUCGUAGAUAUUUGUAGGAAUGCCGAUGGAGAAGUCAGCUCACUGGACAGAUACUGACGCUGAAGCGCGAAAGCGUGGGGAGCAAACAGGAUUAGAUACCCUGGUAGUCCACGCCGUAAACCCUGAACAGUAGGUGUUGGGGGCCCAACCCUCAGCGCGCACAGCUCACGCGAUAAGUGAUCCGCCUGGGGAGUAUGCACGCAAGUGUGAAACUCCAAGGAAUUGACGGGGACCCGCACCAGCGGUGGAGCAUGUGGUUUAAUUUGAAGCAACGCGAGGAACCUUACCAGGGUUUGACAUUCUUAGAAGUUUCCAGAGAUGGAUUUGUGCCGGCUUGCCGGAAAUUUGUGACAGGUGGUGCAUGGCUGUUGUCAGAUUGUGUUGUGAGAUGUUGGGUUAAGUUCCGCAACGAGCGCAACCCCUAUUGUAUGUUGGUUCCAUUAAAUUGAGCAAUCAUGCGAUACUGCCUGCGAUGAGCAGGAGGAAGGUGGGGAUGAAGUCAAGUUAUCAUGCCCCUUAUACGCUGGGCUACACACGUGAUACAAUGGGCAGUACAGAGAGUUGCCAACCCGCGAGGGUGAGUUAAUCUCUUAAAGCUGUUCUUAGUUCGGAUUGUACUCUGCAACUCGAGUACAUGAAGUUGGAAUCGCUAGUAAUCGCAAAUCAGCAUGUUGCGGUGAAUACGUUCUCGGGUCUUGUACACACCGCCCGUCACACCACGAGAGUUGGUUGCACCUGAAGUAGCAGGCCUAACCGUAAGGAGAAAUGUUCCUGAGGUGUGAUUAGCGAUUGGG
rnacentral:rRNA from 1 species